AUGCCCUGGCAGUCAGAGGCGAUGAAGGACGUGCUAAUCUGCGAUAAGCGUCGGUAAGGUGAUAUGAACCGUUAUAACCGGCGAUUUCCGAAUGGGGAAACCCAGUGUGAUUCGUCACACUAUCAUUAACUGAAUCCAUAGGUUAAUGAGGCGAACCGGGGGAACUGAAACAUCUAAGUACCCCGAGGAAAAGAAAUCAACCGAGAUUCCCCCAGUAGCGGCGAGCGAACGGGGAGGAGCCCAGAGCCUGAAUCAGUGUGUGUGUUAGUGGAAGCGUCUGGAAAGGCGCGCGAUACAGGGUGACAGCCCCGUACACAAAAAUGCACAUACUGUGAGCUCGAUGAGUAGGGCGGGACACGUGGUAUCCUGUCUGAAUAUGGGGGGACCAUCCUCCAAGGCUAAAUACUCCUGACUGACCGAUAGUGAACCAGUACCGUGAGGGAAAGGCGAAAAGAACCCCGGCGAGGGGAGUGAAAAAGAACCUGAAACCGUGUACGUACAAGCAGUGGGAGCACAGAGCAAUCUGUGUGACUGCGUACCUUUUGUAUAAUGGGUCAGCGACUUAUAUUCUGUAGCAAGGUUAACCGAAUAGGGGAGCCGAAGGGAAACCGAGUCUUAACUGGGCGUUAAGUUGCAGGGUAUAGACCCGAAACCCGGUGAUCUAGCCAUGGGCAGGUUGAAGGUUGGGUAACACUAACUGGAGGACCGAACCGACUAAUGUUGAAAAAUUAGCGGAUGACUUGUGGCUGGGGGUGAAAGGCCAAUCAAACCGGGAGAUAGCUGGUUCUCCCCGAAAGCUAUUUAGGUAGCGCCUCGUGAAUUCAUCUCCGGGGGUAGAGCACUGUUUCGGCAAGGGGGUCAUCCCGACUUACCAACCCGAUGCAAACUGCGAAUACCGGAGAAUGUUAUCACGGGAGACACACGGCGGGUGCUAACGUCCGUCGUGAAGAGGGAAACAACCCAGACCGCCAGCUAAGGUCCCAAAGUCAUGGUUAAGUGGGAAACGAUGUGGGAAGGCCCAGACAGCCAGGAUGUUGGCUUAGAAGCAGCCAUCAUUUAAAGAAAGCGUAAUAGCUCACUGGUCGAGUCGGCCUGCGCGGAAGAUGUAACGGGGCUAAACCAUGCACCGAAGCUGCGGCAGCGACGCUGAUGCGUUGUUGGGUAGGGGAGCGUUCUGUAAGCCUGUGAAGGUGUGCUGUGAGGCAUGCUGGAGGUAUCAGAAGUGCGAAUGCUGACAUAAGUAACGAUAAAGCGGGUGAAAAGCCCGCUCGCCGGAAGACCAAGGGUUCCUGUCCAACGUUAAUCGGGGCAGGGUGAGUCGACCCCUAAGGCGAGGCCGAAAGGCGUAGUCGAUGGGAAACAGGUUAAUAUUCCUGUACUUGGUGUUACUGCGAAGGGGGGACGGAGAAGGCUAUGUUGGCCGGGCGACGGUUGUCCCGGUUUAAGCGUGUAGGCUGGUUUUCCAGGCAAAUCCGGAAAAUCAAGGCUGAGGCGUGAUGACGAGGCACUACGGUGCUGAAGCAACAAAUGCCCUGCUUCCAGGAAAAGCCUCUAAGCAUCAGGUAACAUCAAAUCGUACCCCAAACCGACACAGGUGGUCAGGUAGAGAAUACCAAGGCGCUUGAGAGAACUCGGGUGAAGGAACUAGGCAAAAUGGUGCCGUAACUUCGGGAGAAGGCACGCUGAUAUGUAGGUGAAGUCCCUCGCGGAUGGAGCUGAAAUCAGUCGAAGAUACCAGCUGGCUGCAACUGUUUAUUAAAAACACAGCACUGUGCAAACACGAAAGUGGACGUAUACGGUGUGACGCCUGCCCGGUGCCGGAAGGUUAAUUGAUGGGGUCAGCGCAAGCGAAGCUCUUGAUCGAAGCCCCGGUAAACGGCGGCCGUAACUAUAACGGUCCUAAGGUAGCGAAAUUCCUUGUCGGGUAAGUUCCGACCUGCACGAAUGGCGUAAUGAUGGCCAGGCUGUCUCCACCCGAGACUCAGUGAAAUUGAACUCGCUGUGAAGAUGCAGUGUACCCGCGGCAAGACGGAAAGACCCCGUGAACCUUUACUAUAGCUUGACACUGAACAUUGAGCCUUGAUGUGUAGGAUAGGUGGGAGGCUUUGAAGUGUGGACGCCAGUCUGCAUGGAGCCGACCUUGAAAUACCACCCUUUAAUGUUUGAUGUUCUAACGUUGACCCGUGAUCCGGGUUGCGGACAGUGUCUGGUGGGUAGUUUGACUGGGGCGGUCUCCUCCUAAAGAGUAACGGAGGAGCACGAAGGUUGGCUAAUCCUGGUCGGACAUCAGGAGGUUAGUGCAAUGGCAUAAGCCAGCUUGACUGCGAGCGUGACGGCGCGAGCAGGUGCGAAAGCAGGUCAUAGUGAUCCGGUGGUUCUGAAUGGAAGGGCCAUCGCUCAACGGAUAAAAGGUACUCCGGGGAUAACAGGCUGAUACCGCCCAAGAGUUCAUAUCGACGGCGGUGUUUGGCACCUCGAUGUCGGCUCAUCACAUCCUGGGGCUGAAGUAGGUCCCAAGGGUAUGGCUGUUCGCCAUUUAAAGUGGUACGCGAGCUGGGUUUAGAACGUCGUGAGACAGUUCGGUCCCUAUCUGCCGUGGGCGCUGGAGAACUGAGGGGGGCUGCUCCUAGUACGAGAGGACCGGAGUGGACGCAUCACUGGUGUUCGGGUUGUCAUGCCAAUGGCACUGCCCGGUAGCUAAAUGCGGAAGAGAUAAGUGCUGAAAGCAUCUAAGCACGAAACUUGCCCCGAGAUGAGU
rnacentral:rRNA from 1 species